UGAGACAAGAAGAGGGUUGAGUUUAAGUCAAGACUGAGACCAGAAGAGGGUUGAGUUUGAAUCAAGACUGAGACCAGAAGAAGGUUGAGAUGGGUUGCAAGACUGAGACCAGAAGAGGGUUGAGUUUAAGUCAAGACUGAGACCAGAAGAGGGAGGAGUCUGAGUCAAGACUGAGACCAGAAAAGGGUUGGGUUUGAGUCAAGACUGAGACCAGAAGAGAGAUGAGUCCAAGUCAAGACUGAGAACAGAAGAUGGUUGAGUUUGAGUCAAGACUGAGAGCAGAAGAGAGAUGAGUCAGAGAGAGGAGUCUGAGUCAAGGCUGAGACCAGAGGAGAGUCGCGUUUGUGUCAAGACUGACACCAGAAGAGGGAUGACUCUGAGUCAAGACUGAGACUAGUAGAGAGAUGAGUCUGAGUCAAGACUGAGACAAGAAGAGGGCUGAGUUUGAAUCAAGACUGAGACCAGAAGAAGGUUGAGUUUGAGUCAAGACUGAGACAAGAAGAGGGUUGAGUUUGAAUCAAGACUGAGACCAGAAGAAGGUUGAGAUGGGUUGCAAGACUGAGACCAGAAGAGGGUUGAGUUUAAGUCAAGACUGAGACCAGAAGAGGGAGGAGUCUGAGUCAAGACUGAGACCAGAAAAGGGUUGGGUUUGAGUCAAGACUGAGACCAGAAGAGAGAUGAGUCCAAGUCAAGACUGAGAACAGAAGAUGGUUAAGUUUGAGUCAAGACUGAGAGCAGAAGAGAGAUGAGUCAGAGAGAUGAGUCUGAGUCAAGGCUGAGACCAGAGGAGAGUCGCGUUUGUGUCAAGACUGACACCAGAAGAGGGAUGACUCUGAGUCAAGACUGAGACUAGUAGAGAGAUGAGUCUGAGUCAAGACUGAGACAAGAAGAGGGCUGAGUUUGAAUUAAGACUGAGACCAGAAGAAGGUUGAGUUUGAGUCAAGACUGAGACAAGAAGAGGGUUGAGUUUGAAUCAAGACUGAGACCAGAAGAAGGUUGAGAUGGGUUGCAAGACUGAGACCAGAAGAGGGUUGAGUUUAAGUCAAGACUGAGACCAGAAGAGGGAGGAGUCUGAGUCAAGACUGAGACCAGAAGUAGGUUGAGUUUGGUCUCAAGAUUGAGACCAGAAAAGAGAUGAGUCUGAGUCAGGACUGAGACCAGAAGAGGGUCAAUUUGGUCUCAAGACUGAGACCAGAAGAGAGAUGAGUCUGAGUCAAGACUGAGACCAGAAGAAGGUUGAGGUUAAGUGAAGAUUAAGACCAAAAGAAGACCAGACUAAGACCAGAAUCUACAUGGUAAUGAGUCCAUGUCAAGACCAACAUGAAAACAUGAAAGUAUUGUAUUGGGAACUUAGACUCAUUGUGGACCCAUUUUCAGUGAAUUCUGACUUUUUGUCAUCUGUUCAUUUAGAUGACUACCCAAAGUGACUUACAUUUCAUUCAAAGUAUACUUUUUUAUCAGUUCUUUCUGCUUUCCCUGGGAAUCAAACGCAUGACCUUGUCAUUGCUAGUGUUGUGCUCAACUGUUUGAGGCUGUUUCCUAACAUAAUAUCUUUAUAUCUUCAGAAGACCUACAGCACACAAGUCACAUGGACCACUUUUAUGAUUCCUUACGGUGCUUUUGUGCCAUUUUUAAAGAUUAAAAACUCUAUUCAUUGUAAUUGAUCAUGGAAACAUGCUUUGAAAAGUCUCCAUUUGUUUUUUGUGUAAGAAAGAAAGUCACAAGGGUUUAGAAACUCUAAAGGGAUUUUAACUUCUAUAUAUAUCUUGU